UACGUAGGGUGCGAGCGUUAAUCGGAAUUACUGGGCGUAAAGUGUGCGCAGGUGGCUUCGCAAGUCGAGUGUGAAAUCCCCGGGCUUAACCUGGGAAUUGCGCUCGAAACUACGGAGCUGGAGUAUGGCAGAGGGAGGUGGAAUUCCACGUGUAGCGGUGAAAUGCGUAGAUAUCUGGAGGAACACCGGUGGCGAAGGCGGCAUCCUGGACCGGCAUUGACGCUGAGGCGCGAAAGCCAGGGAGCAAACGGG
rnacentral:rRNA from 1 species